rnacentral:lncRNA from 1 species
UAGAAGUCAGGUCGGAUUAAGCCAUAGUACGGAAAAAACUAUGCUACCUGUGAGCCCCGUCCAAGGACGUUAAAAGAAGUCAGGCCACUACAAGUGCCAUAGCUUGAGCAAACUAUGCAGCCUGUAGCUCCACCUGGGAAGGUGUAAAAAAUCUGGGAGGCCACAAACCAUGGAAGCUGUACGCAUGGCGUAGUGGACUAGCGGUUAGAGGAGACCCCUCCCUUGCAAGUCGCAGCAACAAUGGGGGCCCAAGGUGAGAUGAAGCUGUAAUC